CUUGGAGAUGGAGUGUGAUUCGUGGUGGGUUCCAUCGUAGACAAACAACGAUGAGAUUCAGAACCAUGUUAUUACAAUUUAUGAUCACUGACGAGUUGACUGGCGAUGAAAGAAACCGCAGACGCUCCAAUCGCCAUUCGGGUGUAUUCAGCCACGGUCCUCAGUUUUUCCAUUUUGAAGGCAGAAGCUUUGGCAAAGGAUAGAGAGAUGACGCAGAACAGAGAUGCGGUGAGAACAACCGCGGCUUGGUAAUGUCCCUUAUCGGUUCUUUUGAAAGAGAGGCCGUAGAAUAGAGGAGGAAUGACACCGAAGAAAAUGAAGGAAACCACAACAACAAAGCAGUGGAGCUUGACCUUUUUAAAGUUUCCCAGCGAUCCUCGUACAGUUGUCUAUCCUUUAGAUAUGUGAUAUUAUGGUCUUUGCUCGAACUGAGAGAUGGUCUUUCAAACAUUAUGAGUCCGUAUAGCUGCCAAAAAUAUCAUCGUUCGUAAGUAUGAAUGUUUUAAAUCAAUUGUUUCGAGA